UGAGGAAUAUUGGUCAAUGGGCGGAAGCCUGAACCAGCCAUGCCGCGUGAGGGAAUUAGGCCCUACGGGUCGUGAACCUCUUUAGGCCGGGAGCAAUAAGGCCCACGGGCUGGGCCGAUGAGAGUACCGGCAGAAUAAGCAUCGGCUAACUCCGUGCCAGCAGCCGCGGUAAUACGGGGGAUGCGAGCGUUAUCCGGAUUCAUUGGGUUUAAAGGGUGCGCAGGCGGUCAUGCAAGUCAGCGGUGAAACCCCCGCGCUCAACGCGGGGCUUGCCGUUGAUACUGCGAGGCUGGAGUACGGGCGCCGCCGGAGGAAUGUGCGGUGUAGCGGUGAAAUGCAUAGAUAUCGCACAGAACACCGAUUGCGGAGGCAUCUGGCGAGCCCGUCACUGACGCUGAGGCACGAAAGCGUGGGGAUCGAACAGG
rnacentral:rRNA from 1 species